rnacentral:lncRNA from 1 species
UUUUUUUUUUUUUUUUUUUAGAGCCACACUGGCAGCAUGUGGAAGUUCCCAGGAGGCUAGGGAUGGAAUUGGAGCUGCAGCUGAGGCCACAGCCACAGCAACACUGGAUCCAAGCUGCAUCUACAACCUAUGCUGCAGCUUGCAGGAACUCCAGAUCCCUAACCCACCAAGUGAGGCCAGGGAUUGAACCCACAUCCUAACAGAGGCAACAUCGUGUUCUUAACGGCUGAGCCACAAUGGGAACUCCAAUUCUCCAUUUCUAAGUAGUUUUUACAUCUUCUAGAAAUAUCGACAUUCUCUUGGCUGGAUUUUCACUGGGUUACUAAAUAAUAACAUUAACUUUGAAUAGCAUCCUUCCCACAAAUUUCACACUAAGCUGCUCCUUUUGGAACUAGACAACAGCAAAGGAGGACAAAAUUAAAUAGUCUAGACAAGGAAGAAGAAAAUCUAUUUUCAGUUUGUAUUUUAUUAGAGGUGACUUGCCAGCCUGAUGAUAAAAUUAUCCAAAAUAAAAAGGGAAUGAGUAGCUCUACAAAAAUCUUCUUUAUUUGUUCUUAAGCCCUUCCCUGACUUAGGCAUAGAACUACAAUUCUUGGUGACUUCAGCCAGAGAGGCAGAAUUUACAUCUAGCUAAUGCUCGCAGAAAAGGCAGAAGGACUGUUUCAGUCUUGCUGUGAAUGUCCUUAUGGAUGUUUCCUAUGCACUCGCACAGAAGCUUCUGAAAUUUUAGGUUCAUGUGUCCUGGGUUCGGCAAGGGCAACUUCAAGUCCUCCUCUGAGGAGGCUCGCAACCCGGAAUCCGAGCUCCAAAGGCAUAGAGAAGCUCCCUGGACAACAUCAGGCUCCAUGCGGACACCCAACCCAUCCAGCCCGUGACUACCAUCCUCCAAAGUGGCAGCCAGAGGGGAAGCGGAGCCGGGACGCGAGCAGCAAAGAGGAAAAGCCACCUCCUCGGGGUUCUCUGCCCGGCUCUGCCGGACACCCUGCAGGUCGCGGAGAAUCCCAGCGAGUGGCCAGUGGCAGAGGCUGGAUGCAGACCAAAUUCACACGGAUUUCUGCACCUGGCGGCGCCCACUCGGCACAGGGGCCAGCUCGCCAACCUCUGCCUCCCGGGCCGCACUGAUCUGACCCUCUGUGCCUGAGAGAGAGUGGAAAGCCAUCCCCGAUUCUCUCACCAAAUGCCCAAGGCAGGGGAAGCGUGAGCGGGGUUUGCAGGAUGUCAACAGGGAGGGGUCUUCAAAAGAGUCCAGGUGAAAGGAAGAGUGGACUCUUCGCUGAUUUUCUGCCCUGGUCACGUAAACCUCCAUCCCAGGGCCCCCGUCCAGUGCUGGCCUUUGGGGGUCGGGCACGCCGAAGAGGACCACCACGUGUCGCAGGGCCAGGCUGUCCUGGAUUUACUUACUCCGAAAGAACUGAGAGCACUCGGGGCAGAUGAAAAGCUAGCACCUGAGUGGGAAGCUGCACCCCUACUUCCAAGGUGGUCCCACGAAAGGGGCAGGUUAGCAGCUUCCAACUCUGAAGACCCGCAGCCAAACCUGAAGGGGUCUGGACUGGAUGCUGCUUAUUGAUGGGGACCAGUAAUAUCACACCCACGUCACCCACUCCCCGCCUUGGACAGAAAUCAGUGAAAACAGCAGAGCAGAGAACCCCAAACUCCACUGUUCACAACAGCAGUGAAGAACCGGCAACAAAGAUCGUGGUGACCUUGUUCAGAACCCUAAAAUCUACUUUUUAAAACUAACAGUAACAAGUGGAAAGCUUAACAAAGGGGAAAAAAAAAAAGCUAAAUUUUGGCAAAAGAGCUCUAUGGCUUUAUUUUUUCUUUUUUUUGGCCACAGCCAUGGCAUGAAGAAGUUCCAGGGGCCAGAGGUCAAAUCCAAGGCACACCUGUGACCUACGUCCCAGCUGCGGCAACCAUGGAUCCUCAACCCACUGCGCCAGGCCAGGGAUGGAACUCAGUCCCACAGUGACCUAAGCCUCUGCAGUGGGAUCCUUAACCCACUGAGCCAUGAGGGAACUCCUCUGUUGCAUUUUAACUUACCUUGCUACCUCCCCCCCCACACCCCAACACAACUGCAGACUUGAGGCCAGAAGCCCAGUUUCCUGGUGCAGGUUACUGGUACCAGAGGGCCCAAUACUGACCUUAUUCUCAGAGAACUGUGGUUCUGCACUUGACCCCUACAGUAGCUCCUUGAAGGAUCUCUUUAAGGGUUGCACACAGCUUCUUGGGUGACAUUUACCGAAAACAUUUAAAGGCAAAUGUAUUAGCUGCUGCCACCUGCAAUAAAGGAUAACCAUUAGGUCAGGCAAUAGAAAGACCAAAAAUCCUGGGAAGAAAGAAGGGCAUAGCUCAAGGAAUAAAGGCUUUGAAAAGCUUCUGUGUUUUCAAGGAAUCUAGAAGCCCCCAUGCGUGCCCGGUCUGCACGUGUGCUCAGUAAAGUCUUGACAUUAAUAAACUAGCAAAAUAUGUUCAUUACUAAAGCUGAAAAGGUCAACAUGUAUUACUUAUAUAGCAAAUUGUUUAGAAAAAAAAAUCUACAUGUCCCGGAGAACCACAGAAAUUUGUGGGUCUUUUUCCUAGACCAUGUAUCAUUGAGUCAAUAUAACUUACAAUUUGUAUCCCCUGCUAAAAUGCAUACUUCUCAGGGGCACGGAUGUGAUUAUCAAGUAAUGACCAAAAACGGCGUGCUGAACGCCUCUGCCCCAUGCUGGUCCCUCACUGCUCCCGCUGUGUGAGUCCACCUCCUCUGGGAAGUCUUUGUGGGUCUCCCAGAGGAAGGAUUGUGCCGUUGGUGCUUUCACAGCCUCAGCUGGUGCUUCAUGGCCCAGAUGAAAAUUAUUGCUAAAUAAUCUUCUAAUUACUAGUUAGGACUCUGUCUCCCCCGGAGAAUGCGUAAUUUCCCUGAAGGCAUAGACUUUGUUCCCAUCUCAGGAAGAGGUUUCAGUAUCAAAAGGCACAUUACAAAUAGUUCAGUAAAAGAUGAAUGAAUACAUAUGUCCUACUCUAGAGGAUUUUAGCAAGAAGGUACCCUCUAAUUUUGUAGGUGUCGUGAUUCUGGUCUGCAUGGAGAAUGAUGACGUAGAGGGGUGCAUGAGGAAGGCACUGGGGACGAGGUGCUGGCAUUCAAAGGUUUCCUGUCAAAAGUCAAUAACGACAAAGUAUACUUUUUAUUCCGAACAUUUGUAGUAGUUUCUCACUUUGGUGUCCUAGGUUUCAAACACAUUGGCUUAAAAUUUUCCUUCUUGGGGGGUUCCCAUUGUGGCACAGCAGAAACAAAUCCGACUGGGAACCAUGAGGUUGAGGGUUCGAUUCCCGGCCUUGCUCAGUGGGCUAAGGAUCCAGUGUUGCCCUGAGCUGUGGUGUAGGUUGCAGAUGCGGCUCGGAUCUGGCGUGGCUGUGGCUCUGGCGUAGGCCACCAGCAACAGCUCUGAUUAGACGCCUAGCCUGGGAACCUCCAUAUGCCUUGGGUGCGGCCCCAAAAAGACAAAAACAACAACAAAAAAAACAAAAAACAAAAAACAAACCAUGUCAUUUAUUUAUUUAUUUUUGGCUGUACCACAGCAUGAAGAAGUUUCAGGGCAGGGAUCAAACCUAAACCACAGCAGUAACAAAACCAAAUCCUUAACCCCCUGAGCCACCAGGGAACUCCUAAAACUUUCCUGAUUAAAAGAUCCCGUUGAUAAAAUAUCCCUCAAAUGGAAAGAGACAACAGUCUUUCAAUAAGCGAAUGAUUAAACCACCUGGGGGCAUCCAUACCAUGAAAUACUACUAAAUAUUAAGAAGAAAGGAACUAUUGAGAAACACAACUUGGAUGAAUCAUCUGAGUAAAAGAAGCUGACCUAGGAAUUCCCGCUGUGACGUAAUGGUCUCGGUGGCGUCUCUGCAGCUCUGGGAAGCAGGUUCUAUCCCAGGCCCAGCACAGCGCGUUAAGGAUUUGUCGCUGCCGCAGCCACAGCAUAGGCCGCAACUUCGGCUGGGAUCUGAUCCCCGGCCCAUGAAUUCCAUAAGCUUCGGGUUUAAAAAAAACAGAGAGAGAGAGAAGCUGAUCGGCUGUGUGAUUAUUUAACAUCCUGGAGGCGGUAGAUUCUAUGGCUGAAGGACAGGUUGGUGGCUGCCACGGAUGGUGGGUGGAGGCUGUGGGGAGGACAAGGGGCGGCGGCAGCAGGGAGACUUUGCCGGGCUGGAAGGGCUCUGGGGCUUGACCGCAGUCGUGGUCUGGGAACCUCUGCAGGUGAUAAAACGGCAUGACACCACCCCCGCACAAGGCGUCUGUCACCUGGCUGGUUUCCACUGUAGCUCUAUGAGUUACAGCCACAGGGGGAGACCCGGUGAAGGCACUCGGAUCGCUUUGUACUUGUCUUACGGCUUCCACAAUUAUUUCCAAAUAAAAAGUCAAAAAGAAAGGAGGAAAAAUGUUGGCGCGGGGAGCUACGUUUCCCACAGGAAGGCCUGCAAAUCUGUCGCACCUUCCCAGACACACGUGGGAGGACACGUGUCCCAGGAAGGAAGCGCAUCUAGAGGAAGGUCCCACGGGACUCAGCACCCCGGCAGCAACCUGCAUUGGCUCCACCGUCCUCCUAGAGGCAGCCGCUGCUCUGGCCGCCGGGUACAGAACGCACGCCACUUAUCACGUGUACUUGGAGAGGCAGGAGCCUGAGAGAGGCAGAUUCCUAAGGUUCCGCCUAAAAAGUCUGGAGGUUGACAAAGAAUCUGCCUCUGGUCAUCCACGAGGCUGACCGUCUCCCAUGACAGUCUUUAGAUCCCGAGGUCGAAGUCUGUCCCACCACCCCCUCUUGUCCUCAGGAGUAAAAUCCUUCAAUUCUAUACAUGAGAACCAUAGACUCCGUUCUUUGAUCACGAAAAUAAAAUGCCACCCACUCAAAAUUCUAGAAGAGGAAAUAUUUUUUUCCUGUUGAAAUGUGAAUAACACAGGUCCUGCUAAAGAAUUCUAUUUAUCUCUUCUAUGCAUUUCAUAAGAAUUCAUUAAAAUAUCUGAGGGGGAAAAAAAGGCAAUGCUGAAAUCCAUUAUCAUGCGAGCAUAAUAUUUGGUCUCCAUGGCGACCUCAGUAUUCUAUCACCACAGUCACUUGGGGCAGAGGCCUCCCCAGACAAGAGCCAGAGUUUGAAACAGCUUCACCGAGACGUAACUUACACGUCGUAAACUCGACCCAUUUCAACCUUAUUUACUACAUUCCCACAAUCUAAUUCUAGAUGGUUUCCUUCAUCCUCAGACUAAACCCUCUGCCCAACAGCUGUCAACUCUCCUCCCAGCCACUAAUCCACUUCCCAUCCCCACAGGAUAGUCUAUACGAAUUGAAUCACACGUGUUCUUUUGUGUCUAGCGUCUUUGAACAUGUUUAUGUGGCAUGUAUCAGUAUUUUAUUUCUUAUUGUCAACGAGUCGUCUUUGAUACAGAUUAUAUAA